GACGAAGGGUGCAAGCGUUAUCCGGAAUCACUGGGCUUAAAGGGCGCGUAGGCGGCCUUAUAAGUCAGUGGUGAAAUCUCCUCGCUUAACGAGGAAAUUGCCAUUGAUACUGUAGGGCUUGAGUAUAGAUGCGGUUGGCGGAAUAUGACAUGUAGUGGUGAAAUACAUAGAGAUGUCAUAGAACACCGAUUGCGAAGGCGGCUAACGGGACUAUAACUGACGCUGAGGCUCGAAAGUGAGGGGAGCAAACAGG
rnacentral:rRNA from 1 species